AACAACAACGCUUCUCUCUAUUACUGUGGUACAAGGUCACUUGUAAUUCUCUCUCAUCUUUCACCCUUUCCAACUUCUCUCUCUAUGGCCUCGUUUGACACGCCCCGACCCUGAUAUUCCCUGAAUACCAGGAUAGACACGUGCUGGCCGACACCCGAGGGUGACGAAAGCCAUUAAUUGAUACAAAAGCUAAGUAUAAGAAAUAAAUAAGGGUUAGAAAUUUAAAAUACGAAGAAUUAAUAAUUUUAGGAACGUGCUCAGAGCAUACAACUAACCUAAUCACUAAAAAGGAUUAAGAUAAAAUUGGAUGAAUAAGGAAGUGGGUCCUACAUCGAGAGGAUCCGAAGAUGCUACUGCGGAAGUGUCUUCAUGCCGGGAUUAGGUGCCUUGAUUCUAAGUCCUGAAUGGGGGCGCAAAACAAAGGUGAGUGGGCCAAGUUCAUAUAUAUAAUAAUAAUAAAACAAUUAUCAAGAUAUUAACCCCCACAGUUUAUAUAUAAUGAAAACUACUAGCAUAAUAAGUGAUGGAUUUAAUGAAAAUCCUAGCAUGCCAAAUAUCUCAAAAGCCAUAUCGCGGAAACGCAUCGCGGAAAUCAAAACAGUAAACGUAUCAUAAAUCGUCUCGUAUAACGCGGUGUGCUGCUAGAAAGAUCACUGAAUAAAUAUAACUCCCGGCCCAAUGCCUGCACCUCAAUCUCUGUGCCCGUAGCCAGAGAUAACUCCCUCCCGGCCCAGUGUCUGUCACCGUGUCCCUCAGCCUUUCGCUAGGGAUUAUUUCUCCCGGCCUACCUGCCAACACCAGAUCCUCGCCCCAGGCGGCAUAGUGCCCACUAGGUACGCACAAAUAGUUACGUCUCUCUUAAAUAACCACUUCAUAGCAUAGGUUACCGAUCAUCAUCUACACUAUAAAGAGGGGUUCAAAAACAUGUUCUAGCAUCCUAUCGUCAUCUAUCAGAUAGUCUACCAGUUCAUGGUUUUUAUAGAAAAUAUGAUAUAUAUUAAAAUAUAGCUCAAUAUAAGCUAACAAUUAUUUCCUCACCAAAACACGAGACGAAAUCAAUAAAUUGAGUAAACAGGAUUGAUAUAAAUCAAUUCAUAAAAUUCGUAGGCAUGCUAAUCAUUUAUGCAAUUACUAUUAAAUCAUGUAAUUUUAGAAGGGGUUCACUCACAAUACUUAGUUGCCAAAAGCUGCGCCACUAGUAAAGACGGAAACGUCACAAUAAUUGCCCCUAAGCACAUAAAGAGUACAAUAAUUAAAACUAUAUAAUAGCAAUUGAAUUUGGGAAAAUGGACAUUGGAAAUGGAUUCAGAACGUCGAAUUACCCUAAGAAGGGUCCCGGACGAAAACCCGAAAAGUCAACCAUAAAGUCAACGUUGACCGAGGGUCAACGAUCAAAUUAGGUCAAACGGAUUUUAGGCUUGAAAUCCGGAUUAGGGUUUAGGUUUAGGUUAAGUAGGGUUAGGACCUAUUGGGUUUUGAACUAAAUAAAAUAAGGGAAUUGGGUUGGAUGGGUUAGGCCCUAAUAGAUUUUAGAAACCUAGGGUUUUUGGGUUAAAAGGGUUUAGGAUGGAAAAAUUGGGGUUUGGGCUUUAGCCCAAACACACACACUAAAAGCACACACACACAUGCACGGCAUGCAUGUGCAUGCAUAAACACACACACACACAUGCCUAAGCAUACCCACACACACACACGAGCACAAGGCCCUAAGGCCUCACAAGGGCAGGGCUUUAAGCCCCUUUAAAUCAAAACCGGUCCAAGGCCAUUUAUAUAAGGCCCGAGCCCUUUUUGGGUUUUAAAACCAAUAAACAAAACUUAAAAACUAAAGGGGCUAGGGUUUUAGGCUUAAGACAACACGGGCCUAAGGCCCGAGGGAGAGGGAAAGGCCGGGUGGCCUGUUGCCAAGGAAGAAGAAGGCCGGAAAUUCGGCCGGAAAACCACCCCACUUUAAACGGUCAUAACUUUGUUACUACUCAACGAAAUCAAGCGAGACAAAAAAAAAAAGUUGUAUUCCUUGAAGAGACGAAGAGAAUGGUACCUCACACGACGUCUAACUCGCCGUUUUUUGGCCGAAAAAUUCCUCGAAAGCCUCGGAGGUCGCCGGAAACUGGGUAAAAUUCAAAUGAGUAUAACUUCUUCAAUACGCCAUUAAAUUGAGUAAAACAAAAAUGAAAGUUAUAGUACUCGACGAGACGAAGAGAUUGAUA
rnacentral:lncRNA from 1 species